AUGUUCCCGCAGAGGCCGCCUGCCGCCCUGGUCGCCUGGCUGGCCGGGGGCUUACUGGCAGUGCUAGCUAAUCAGUGCCGCUUCGUGACGGGCCUGCGUGUGCGGCACGCACAGGAUAUCGCGCAGCUCUAUGGUCGCCUCCGCCUCUACUCGGAAAGCUUGCGCUGCGUCCUCCUCUGCCGCCUCUGGCUCCGGCUACACGGCCGCCCUGGCCAUGCUGCUGUCUUUAUGGCAGCGCACGCCAGCGUCUUCGUGUGGGAAGAGGAGAGGAUCCAAGAGGAGGAGUUGCAGAGAUCCAUGAAUGAUAUGAAAUGGUUGGAGGAAAUGUGAAAUAUGUUUCAGAGUUCUGGAAUCAGGUGCCAACCUCCAGAACCAAAAUCCCAAACAGAAGGGAAUGAAGAUUUGCAGGGCAAAGAGCAGCCAUGGGAAAUGGUGACGGAUAAGAAACACUUCAAGCUGUGGCAGCAUCCAAUUACAGGCACCCAGCUUUACCAGUACAGAGUUUUUGGAACUUACACAGAUGUGAUACCACGGCAGUUCUUCAAUGUUCAGCUAGACACAGAGUAUAGAAAAAAGUGGGAUGCCCUGGUGAUCAAGCUGGAGGUGAUUGAGAGGGAUGUGGUUAGUGGUUCUGAGGUUCUUCAUUGGGUAACCCAUUUUCCUUAUCCAGUGUAUUCACGGGAUUAUGUUUACGUUUGGCGGUAUAGUGUCGAUCGGGAAAACAACAGGAUGGUGUUGGUGUCAUGUGCUGUGGAGCACCUUAGUGUGCCAGAAUCACCGGAAUAGAUCAUGCGAGUCCCAAAUGGUUAUCCAUCCCCACAAGUCAUUUGAUGAGAAUGGCUUUGACUACUUGCUGACAUACAGUGACAAUCCUCAGACUGUGUUUCCUCCCUGUGUUAGUUGGAUGGUUUCCAGUGGCAUGCCAGACUUCCUGGAGAAGCUGCAUAUGGCCACUCUGAAAGCCAAGAACAUGGAGAUUAAAGGACUACAUCUCAGCUAAGCCUUUGGAAAUGAGUAGUGAAGCCAAGGCCUCUGCCCAACCCUCGGAGCUGAAGAAUGAGGGUGGUUGUAGCCCUGCUCAGAUUGAGUAUGCCUGAGGGGCUUUGGGAUAAGAAGGGAUAGGUUUCCAGCCCUGUCUCAAUCCCUUAUCACUCUGCUAUGGAAUGGGGACAAGCCACAUGUAUUAGAAGGCGUCUUCUGU